UGAUGCUAAACCAUUUAUCUAAGGAGUCACUUCAUGUGUAAACGGUUCAAAGGGGAAAAUAUUUUUUGGGGGGGGAGACAUUAGGAAAAAAGUGAUGAAAUCAGAGCCUGCAUGCCUUCUAAAUGUGGCAGGUUGAUAUAACAUAGUUAGAUUGUGUUCUUUAAUAGUGGUGUCACUGAGUCCUUGUUUUGUCAUUUGCCAGUUCCUCAUGAUGUGACCCUGCCUGCAUUUGGGGUGUCGUGUCACGUGAGCACUGACUGAGCUGAUGUGUUUACUUGCAUACUUGACCAUGAUUGGCUUCCAACAGUUGUGAUGUCGUGGCUGAGGUCACCGUGAUCGUACAGUUAUGUGAAAAAGGAAGGACGUCAACUUCAUCAAAACAAGAUGAGAACGUUAUCGUUGUCCCUUUUCUUCUGUCACGUUUCAUCACCAGGCUGCACUACAGCAUCUAUUGACAGGCGCGAUCCCACUACUGAGCGGCACGGGGGCUUUGACCUGCUCCGUCUCCGACCUGGGCCGGUGCACCUCUCCUUAGACGACCUGGUGGUCCCGGGCUCCCCCAGGAGCACCAUAUCGAUCCCGAACUUAGUGCGGACACCCGAUCGACAUAGUCCGCUGCAGCUCAGAGGUCCUGAGCUCAAACGAUCCUCCAGCCUCAGCCUCCCGGGAGCUUGGAUUACAGGCGCGCGCCACCGCACCCCGCCAGGAAUCUCUGCGUCAUAGAGGGUCUGCACUUUGACUGCCGUGACGUCAUCAGGGAGUACCCUCAGGUGGCAUUUAUUGAAACAAACCUGCAUCUGCAGUGUGGACUCAAAAUACAUUUCUCACGGGAACUUUUUUGCAGACUGCAGACCGGACACAGUGAGAAUCAGGGCCGGCUCUUGACAUAGGACAUACUUACUUACUUACUUACCUACCUACUUGUUUAUUCAUUUAUUUAUUUAU